rnacentral:rRNA from 1 species
GACGAACGCUGGCGGCGUGCUUAACACAUGCAAGUCGAACGGAAAGGCCCUGCUUUUGUGGGGUGCUCGAGUGGCGAACGGGUGAGUAACACGUGAGUAACCUGCCCUUGACUUUGGGAUAACUUCAGGAAACUGGGGCUAAUACCGGAUAGGAGCUCCUGCUGCAUGGUGGGGGUUGGAAAGUUUCGGCGGUUGGGGAUGGACUCGCGGCUUAUCAGCUUGUUGGUGGGGUAGUGGCUUACCAAGGCUUUGACGGGUAGCCGGCCUGAGAGGGUGACCGGCCACAUGGGGACUGAGAUGCGGCCCGGACCCCGACGGGGGGCAGGAGGGGGAAAUUUGGAAGAAGGGGGGGAGGCUUGAGGCAGCAACGCCGCGGGGGGGAGGGGGGCCUGGGGUUUGUAAACCGCUUCCGCCUGGGACGAAGGGUGAGUGAGGGUAGGGGAAAAAGAAACCCGGCCUAACUACGUC